rnacentral:rRNA from 1 species
AGAGUUUGAUCCUGGCUCAGGACGAACGCUGGCGGCGUGCCUAAUACAUGUAAGUAGAACGCUGAAGGAGGAGCUUGCUUCUCUGGAUGAGUUGCGAACGGGUGAGUAACGCGUAGGUAACCUGUCUGGGAGCGGGGGAUAACUAUUGGAAACGAUAGCUAAUACCGCAUAAGAGUAGAUGUUGCAUGACAUUUACUUAAAAGGUGCAAUUGCAUCACUACCAGAUGGACCUGCGUUGUAUUAGCUAGUUGGUAGGGGUAACGGCUCACCAAGGCGACGAUACAUAGCCGACCUGAGAGGGUGAUCGGCCACACUGGGACUGAGACACGGACCACACUCCUACGGGAGGCAGCAGUACGGAAUCUUCUGCAAUGGACGGAAGUCUGACCGAGCAACGCCGCGCUGAGUGAAGAAGGUUUUCGGAUCCUAAAGCUCAGUUGUAAGAGAAGAACAAGAGUGAGAGUGGAAAGUUCACACUGUAACGGUGUCUUACCAGAAAGGGACGGCUAACUACGUGCCAUCAGCCGCGGUAAUACGUAUGUCCCGAGCGUUGACCGGAUUUAUUGGGCGUAAAGCGAGCGCAGGCGGUUAGAUAAGUCUGAAGUUAAAUGCUGUGGCUUAGCCAUAGUACUCUUUGAAAACUGCUUAACUUGAGUGCACUAUGGGAGAGUGGA